rnacentral:antisense_RNA from 1 species
UGUGGGAGCUGGCUUGCCUGCGAUAGCGGUGUAUCAGCCACCGCAGGGUUGACUGGUAAAUCGCUAUCGCAGGCAAGCCAGCUCCCACA